CCUACGGGUGGCAGCAGUGAGGAAUAUUGGUCAAUGGACGAGAGUCUGAACCAGCCAAGCCGCGUGAAGGAUGAAUGCUCUACGGGUUGUAAACUUCUUUUAUAUGGGAACAAAAUGAUCCACGUGUGGCAUUUUGUAUGUACCAUACGAACAAGGAUCGGCUAACUCCGUGCCAGCAGCCGCGGUAAUACGGAGGAUGCGAGCGUUAUCCGGAUUUAUUGGGUUUAAAGGGAGCGUAGGUGGAUUGUUAAGUCAGUUGUGAAAGUUUGCGGCUCAACCGUAAGAUUGCAGUUGAAACUGGCAGUCUUGAGUACAGUAGAGGUAGGCGGAAUUCGUGGUGUAGCAGUGAAAUGCUUAGAUAUCGCGAAGAACUCCGAUUGCGAAGGCAGUUCACUGGACUGCAACUGACGCUGAGGCACGAAAGUGUGGGUAUCGAACAGGAUUAGAUACCCCAGUAGUC
rnacentral:rRNA from 1 species